GAUGAAGAACGUAGCGAAAUGCGAUAAGUAAUGUGAAUUGCAGAAUUCAGUGAAUCAUCGAAUCUUUGAACGCACAUUGCGCCCGCCAGUAUUCUGGCGGGCAUGCCUGUUCGAGCGUCAUUACAACCCUCAGGCCCCCGGGCCUGGCGUUGGGGAUCGGCGGAGCCCCCCGUGGGCACACGCCGUCCCCCAAAUGCAGUGGCGGUCCCGCCGCAGCUUCCAUCGCGUAGUAGCUAACACCUCGCGACUGGAGAGCGGCGCGGCCACGCCGUAAAACAACCAACUCUUCUGAAGUUGACCUCGCAGCAGGUAGGAAUACCCGCUGAACUUAAGCAUAUCAAUAAGCGGAGGA
rnacentral:misc_RNA from 1 species